GAAAUGCGAUAAGUAGUGUGAAUUGCAGAAUUCAGUGAAUCAUCGAAUCUUUGAACGCACAUUGCGCCCCUCGGUAUUCCGUGGGGCACACCUGUUCGAGCGUCAUUUCAACCCUCAGGCUAGCCCACUUUCGUAGGUUUGGCUUGGUCUUGGGCGUCGUCUGUGGACGUGCCUCAAAAUUAUUGGCGGUGUGGGCGCCGGCUUCGAGCGUAGCAGAUGCGAAUCGCUUUGGAAGCCGGAGCCCGCCUGGCCAGGAAUACUUUGAAAUAUUUGACCUCGGAUCAGGUGGGGAUACCCGCUGAACUUAA
rnacentral:misc_RNA from 1 species